rnacentral:rRNA from 1 species
UACAGAGGUGGCAAGCGUUGUUCGGAAUUACUGGGCGUAAAGGGCGCGUAGGCGGUCUUGUCAGUCCCUUGUGAAAUCCCCCGGCUCAACUGGGGAACUGCACGGGAAACAGCAGGGCUUGAGUUCGGGAGAGGUGAGUGGAACUCCGAGUGUAGAGGUGAAAUUCGUAGAUAUUCGGAAGAACACCAGUGGCGAAGGCGGCUCACUGGCCCGGUACUGACGCUGAGAUACGAAAGCGUGGGGAGCAAACAGG